CUUCCGUAUUUUGAACCUGCGGAAGGAUCAUUACUGAGUGAGGGCCCUCUGGGUCCAACCUCCCACCCGUGUUUAUUUACCUUGUUGCUUCGGCGGGCCCGCCUUAACUGGCCGCCGGGGGGCUUACGCCCCCGGGCCCGCGCCCGCCGAAGACACCCUCGAACUCUGUCUGAAGAUUGUAGUCUGAGUGAAAAUAUAAAUUAUUUAAAACUUUCAACAACGGAUCUCUUGGUUCCGGCAUCGAUGAAGAACGCAGCGAAAUGCGAUACGUAAUGUGAAUUGCAAAUUCAGUGAAUCAUCGAGUCUUUGAACGCACAUUGCGCCCCCUGGUAUUCCGGGGGGCAUGCCUGUCCGAGCGUCAUUGCUGCCCUCAAGCACGGCUUGUGUGUUGGGCCCCGUCCUCCGAUUCCGGGGGACGGGCCCGAAAGGCAGCGGCGGCACCGCGUCCGGUCCUCGAGCGUAUGGGGCUUUGUCACCCGCUCUGUAGGCCCGGCCGGCGCUUGCCGAUCAACCCAAAUUUUUAUCCAGGUGACCUCGGAUCAGGUAGGUCCAAUUUUUG
rnacentral:rRNA from 1 species